UUUUCUUAAUUAACGGAGACAGAUGCGAUUCAACGCUGCUCCGUGGAGAUGGAGGGGGCCUAGGUGUUCGGCCCUGGGUCGCGGGGGAUCGGGACGUACCACUAGCACUCGACAUAUUGGAGGGGGUCGCGUCUAUAAAUAAAAUGUAACGCUAAAUAAAUUUUUUUACAAAAAAAAAAAAAAAAAAAAAAAAAAAAAAAAAAAAAAAAAAAAAAAAAAAAAUUAUGUAGAGAAAUAAGACAGCAAACAAAAAAAAAAAAAAAAAAAAAAAAAAAAAAAAAAAAAAAAAAAAAAAAAAAAAAAAAAAAAAAAAAAAAAAUCUAAUAAUGCGUUUAGUAACAAUAAGAA
rnacentral:misc_RNA from 1 species